rnacentral:rRNA from 1 species
AUGAACGCUGGCGGCGUGCUUAACCCCUGCAAGUCGCACGAUGAAGCCCAGCUUGCUGGGUGGAUUAGUGGCGAACGGGUGAGUAACACGUGAGUAACCUGCCCUUGACUCUGGGAUAAGCCUGGGAAACUGGGUCUAAUACUGGAUAUGACUUCUCAUCGCAUGGUGGGGGGUGGAAAGAUUUAUUGGUCUUGGAUGGACUCGCGGCCUAUCAGCUUGUUGGUGAGGUAAUGGCUCACCAAGGCGACGACGGGUAGCCGGCCUGAGAGGGUGACCGGCCACACUGGGACUGAGACACGGCCCAGACUCCUACGGGAGGCAGCAGUGGGGAAUAUUGCACAAUGGGCGCAAGCCUGAUGCAGCGACGCCGCGUGAGGGAUGACGGCCUUCGGGUUGUAAACCUCUUUCAGUAGGGAAGAAGCGAGAGUGACGGUACCUGCAGAAGAAGCGCCGGCUAACUACGUG